rnacentral:rRNA from 1 species
AAACCAACAGGGAUUGCCUUAGUAACGGCGAGUGAACAGGCAAGAGCUCAGAUUUGAAAGCCUUUCGGGGCAUUGUAUUCUGAAGCCUUGAUUCUGAGAACCGGUACCUAAGUCUUCUGGAAAGGAGCGCCAAGGAGGGUGAUAGCCCCGUACGGUACUGACCUCAUUGUAGAAUCUUGGCGUGGAGUCGAGUUGUUUGGGAAUGCAGCUCAAAUGGGUGGUAUGCUCCAUCUAAAGCUAAAUAUCUGCGAGAGACCGAUAGCGAACAAGUACUGUGAAGGAAAGAUGAAAAGAACUUUGAAAAGAGAGUGAAAAAGUACGUGAAAUUGUUGAAAUGGAAGGAUAGGCCGCUAACCACGUAGAGCCGUGUCUGAGGGGAGGAUAAAAGCUGUAGAAUGUGGCUCUUCGGAGUGUUAUAGCUGCAGUGCAUACUCCCACUCGGGCGCGAGGACCUAAAGGCUCUGCUAAAUGGUGGUCUAUCAC